rnacentral:rRNA from 1 species
GUGCCAGCAGCCGCGGUAAUACGGAGGGUGCAAGCGUUAAUCGGAAUUACUGGGCGUAAAGCGCACGCAGGCGGUUGGAUAAGUUAGAUGUGAAAGCCCCGGGCUCAACCUGGGAAUUGCAUUUAAAACUGUCCAGCUAGAGUCUUGUAGAGGGGGGUAGAAUUCCAGGUGUAGCGGUGAAAUGCGUAGAGAUCUGGAGGAAUACCGGUGGCGAAGGCGGCCCCCUGGACAAAGACUGACGCUCAGGUGCGAAAGCGUGGGGAGCAAACAGGAUUAGAAAC